UUAAAUUUAUUUCGCUUCAGACACAGGCUAAUAAGCAUUGAUUCGACGCCCAGAGGCGCCGAAGCACAUCUCGCUUCCACGGGUUUGAAGGAUGAAGGACCCAAAGGUCUAUCUUGUUAAUGAUCCCUCCGCAGGUUCACCUACGGAGA
rnacentral:misc_RNA from 1 species